CUACGGGUUGCUGCAGUGAGGAAUAUUGCACAAUGGGGGGAACCCUGAUGCAGCAACGCCGCGUGGGGGAUGACGCAUUUCGGUGUGUAAACUCCUUUUAUAUGUCAAGAAAACGACGGUAGCAUAUGAAUAAGCACCGGCUAACUCCGUGCCAGCAGCCGCGGUAAUACGGAGGGUGCAAGCGUUACUCGGAAUCACUGGGCGUAAAGGACGCGUAGGCGGGUUGGAAAGUCAGGUGUGAAAUCCUACAGCUUAACUGUAGAACUGCACUUGAAACUUCUAAUCUAGAGUAUGGGAGGGGGAGAUGGAAUUAGUGGUGUAGGGGUAAAAUCCGUAGAUAUCACUAGGAAUACCUAAAGCGAAGGCGAUCUCCUGGAACAUUACUGACGCUAAGGCGUGAAAGCGUGGGGAGCAAACAGGAUUAGAUACCCCUGUAGUC
rnacentral:rRNA from 1 species